CUGGGGUGUUGUGGGGGCUCCCAGGCCAGUGUGGAGACAUCUGCCUGCAUCCAUUUUCACUAUGGCAUCUGCCUGCCGCACUUAUGUUCAUAAACACUCAUGGAGCUUGGCCUAGGCCUCUCUCCCCUGGAUAGUGCUGGCUGCACCCUGGCGAUAUUUUUCUUUGGACUUUUUUCUAUGGAUAACAAGUGGAGGUAACAACCCCGUUUUCAUCAGCAUGUUAUUUCCAGAACACACUGCAAUUACUGAGUGUCAGCUUCUUUGUCCAGUUACCAUUUAGUCAUGCUUCUCAUGGGUCACCUUGAGUGGAUGUUGUGUUGGGUGUUUGGACAGUCUCUAGGCUUAUAUCAAGAGUUUGUUGAUCUAAUGACUUAAACACCCCUAUUCUCCCCAGUCAUGGCCUUCAAGCUAGAGAUUAAGAAUACAGCUUUGGUACCACUGCCUAGACUUGAAUUCUGGCUUCACUACCCCAGAAAAGUAAAUUCUCUUUUUUGAGCUCUCAGUUACUUGAUAUAAAAUAAUCAGAAUAAUACUUCUUCCACUGGCUUUUUAUGGCAAAGCUCAAGUGACAUGAAUCUUACCAUUUACCUAGUUAUCCCAAAUGGGAAUAGGAAAAGCAAAGUAAAGAUUUUAUAUAUCUCAAAUAAAUAAGAUAGCUGGUCUUACUAACAUGAUAAAGUCUAAGAAAUUUUUAAAAAUUAUAUGUAUGUCUGGUUAGACUGACAAGGUAUGUAAUGGACAACGCAGCUUUGGCUGGUUAGACUGACAAGGUAUGUAAUGGACAAUGCAGCUUUGGCUGGUUAGACUGACAAGGUAUGUAAUGGGCAAUGCAGCUUUGGCUGGUUAGACUGACAAGGUAUGUAAUGGGCAAUGCAGCUUUGGCUGGUUAGACUGACAAGGUAUGUAAUGGGCAACGCAGCUUGGCUGGUUAGACUGACAAGGUAUGUAAUGGGCAACGCAGCUUGGCUGGUUAGACUGACAAGGUAUGUAAUGGGCAAUGCAGUUUUGGCUGGUUAGACUGACAAGGUAUGUAAUGGGCAAUGCAGCUUUGGCUGGUUAGACUGACAAGGUAUGUAAUGGGCAAUGCAGUUUUGGCUGGUUAGACUGACAAGGUAUGUAAUGGGCAAUGCAGCUUUGGCUGGAGUAGGAAAAUUUUAUUGGGAAGAUCAAGGGACAGAGAGUUUUAGAAAGUCAGGACCAAUCUACUAAGAAAAGCCAUCCAAAUCAGAGAAGGAUUUGUCAGGCUCCUUGCAAAGCAAGAUAAGAGCAAAUUAGAUGAAGUGCAUGGUGAGAUACUGCUGUAUGACAGUUUGCAGAGAUAUUUUUCUUUUCCCUUCCAGACCCUAUCUUAGUAAUGAUAACAACUGUAAAGUGGUAGGACAUCAAGGCAUUACUCUGUGUUAGACCAUUCUUGCAUUGCCAUAAAGAAAUACCUGAGACUGGGUAAUUUAUAAAGAAAAGAGGUGUAAUUGGUUAAUGAUUCUGCAGGCACUGCAGGAAGCAUGAUGCUGGCAUCUGCUCAGCUUCCAUGGAG
rnacentral:lncRNA from 13 species